UACGGGGGGGUAAGCGUUGUUCGGAAUUACUGGGCGUAAAGGGCUCGUAGGUGGCCAACUAAGUCAGACGUGAAAUCCCUCGGCUUAACCGGGGGAACUGCGUCUGAUACUGGAUGGCUUGAGUUCGGGAGAGGGAUGCGGAAUUCCAGGUGUAGCGGUGAAAUGCGCAGAUAUCAGGAGGAACACCAAUAGCGAAGGCAGCUCGCUGGGACGUACUGACACUGAGGCGCGAAAGCGUGGGGGAGCA
rnacentral:rRNA from 1 species